AUUCUUGAGUAGUCGCGGUUAGCGCUAAGCUAGCUGAGGAAAGUCCACGCACACACAAGCUGCGAUGCUUGUAGUGAUCGUAUUCAGCCUAAUAAGCUGGAGGAUUAAUUUUACGGCGGAAAAAGUGCUAAAUCUUCGGACAAGCAUGAAUAUCCUGAAAAGUGCCACAGUGACGUAGCAAAAAUGGAAACAUUUUUGGUGGAACGAGGUAAACCCUGCGAGUGUGCAACCCAAAUUUGGUAGGGUCUCGACCUAAGGAAUUGAACUAAAGGUCGGAUUAUUACUUAGUAAUAAAGAUAGAUGGCUACCGAAGGGUAUUUUGCCAAGAUACCUGGAACAAAACGUGGCUUAUAGAA
rnacentral:RNase_P_RNA from 1 species